CUCAAGGCUCUCGACGGUGACCUGCGGAGGGAUCAUU
rnacentral:rRNA from 1 species